AAUGGCACCUCGGUUUUACCAGGUAGAUAUGUCCGGUUCGCUUUGGUUGGUGUGACCGGACAGGGCAAGCCCACCUUGUGUGGGCUUUU
rnacentral:sRNA from 1 species